GAUAUGAAAUUCUUCGCUUUCAACUAUGGGUUUUGUCUCACCGUGUGAUUCUGUUGGCCUACGUUUGGGGUGGAAAAACAAUCCCUCUAAUACCACAUAAGCUUCAAAAUUAUCUGGCAUCUCCUUCAAGGUUCCCAGCAAACAAAUGAAGGCAUCAAGUUUUUCAUGUUAAAACAUCACAAGCUCAUAAAGGUUCCACUCAAUAUGAUACGCAAGUUUUCUAAUGAACAAUACUUCUCUAUGGUGAAACAACUUCAAGAAUCUAUGGGCCACGAACGUCAACAGCAGGCGUAAACAUACCAUUUUUGACAGUAGAAGAACAGUAAUUACGCAAAGGGCACAAGGACAUUAAUUACAGUCACAGACGACUACGGUCGGCAGCCAAGUUGGUAAAAUCCACGACAUCGAGAUCGAUUGGGACGAAGAGAGGUCAAAAUAUUUUCGGGAGAUCUGAAGCAGCCCAGAUGACUCCGAUGACGAGAAUCGGAGGGAGGAUCCGGCGACAGCGUCCCUCUCGGAGCCCAUGCUAAUCGGACGGAUGCAAAAGAUGUCUCCAACCUAAGGAUCCAAUGUCUCCAGUUGCUAGAGGUGUUUGGCUCUGGUCACCCUAGUCUGAGGAACGACCUGGAGAGGAAAAUUCUCCACUACUCAGGCAACCAAUGACAAGAAAAUUGUAAAGAACAAUAUCCGACCUGGACAUUCUCCCGAGAUGGUCAAGAUUUUUAUGAAUUUUCGACAUUAUUGCCUUGAUACUGGUAUUGCGGUCCAGCUCGAGAGAUUCAUC